AACGAACGCUGGCGGCAGGCCUAACACAUGCAAGUCGAGCGCGCCCUUCGGGGUGAGCGGCGGACGGGUGAGUAAGGCGUGGGAACGUGCACUUCUCUGCGGAAUAGCCUCGGGAAACUGAGAGUAAUACAGCAUACGCUCUUAGGGGGAAAGAUGUUUGGGAGCAGGGUCGGCCUGCGUUGGAUUAGGUAGUUGGUGGGGUAAUGGCCGACCAAGCUGACGAUCCAUAGCUGGUUUGAGAGGAUGCUCAGCAACACUGGGACUGAGACACGGCCCAGCCUCCGACGGGAGGGAGCAGUGGGGAAUCUUAGACAAUGGGGGCAACCCUGAUCAAGCCAUGCCGCGUGAGUGAUGAAGGCCUUAGGGUUGUAAAGCUCUUUCAGCUGGGAAGAUAAUGACGGUACCAGCAGAAGAAGCCCCGGCUAACUCCGUG
rnacentral:rRNA from 1 species